CAAGCCUGUAGACAGAAAUAAUCCUUUUUACUGUUGGUGCUAGAAUGUCAUCUUGUACACACACUCAUAUUAGAAAUAUAGCUGUUUUCAAGUUGUUGAACAACUCACUAGGUGGCACCAUUGUACAUGUUGGAGAAAGUAAUAUUGCAAGCCAACUACGUGCUUCUGGCAGUACUGAGGUCACUCACACACAACCUAUCCACUGCUGGGCUAAAAUCAAUGAAGUGAUAAUAGUAUCAUAGACUACCAGGCACCAGGCUGCACUUACUGGAUGGAGUCAUAUCUAAUUUGCCAUUUGCCAUCUCAGUGCUACUUCUGCUUUUGUACCCCUCAUGAUUGGGUUGCUAGUGUGCUAUAUAUACCCUGUUUCCCCAAAAAUAAGACAUCCCCGAAAAAUAAGACCUAGUAGAAGUUUUGCUGAAUUGCUAAAUAUAAGGCCUCCACCGAAAGUAAGACCUAGCAAAGUUUUUGUUUGGAAGCAUGCCCAGCGCCUGCCAAACAGAACACCAGAGCUUGCAGGAUUGGUAAAUGUACAUACCAGUUGUACAUGGAAAUAAUGGUAGUAACAAGAAAUUCUUGAUAGGAUUCAGUUUGUCUGGUUAUGUUGGUUUGUGAUGACAACUACUGUACAGUAUAUAAUAAAUGUUUAUUUUUUGUUCAACAAUAAAUGUGAAUUCUUCUUCAUGGAAAAAUAAGACAUCCCCUGAAAAUAAGACCUAGUGCAUCUUUGGGAGCAAAAAUUAAUAUAAGACACUGUCUUAUUUUCGGGGAAACACGGUAUGUGUUAUGAUUGAGCCUCAUGGCUCUGCUUCUGGCAGACGUGGACGUAAGACUCCUCGAGAGUCAGAUACUCUCGAGGAGCGAGAAAGAAAGAGGCUGCGAGAUAUCUUUGCAGAACCAUCUGACGAAGAGUCUUUUAAGGGGUUCACGGAGAGAAUGGAGGAAGAGCUGGUUAGCUCGGAAGAGGAUGAGAUGGAUUGGACUCGGCUUUGACCUUCCGUCGUCUUCUUGACGGACGCCAUCUGCUACUCUGGAUUUACGGACUGAAAACUGACUACGGGCUCGCUUUCUCCUAUUGAACUUGGAAAACUGCAAACGUCUGAUUCUGCCUCUCGACCUACGGAACGAACUGGGACUACGCUACUGCUUCAAUCCUUGGCUGCUGAGUUUGUAUUGGAAAUUUGCCUUGCUGUGUGAAGGAGUGACUCCUAGUUACUCAAAACAUAGUGCUGGCAGCAGAGAGGCAUCUGCUGCCAAUUAGUUGCAUUCUUUUGAACUCUUUGUUUCCCAGCUUCUGUUUGUUUAUCCCCAGGCUGAAGCAAGCUGUUUUGAUUUUACCCGGAUUAAACUCCGGUUUAAUCCGGUUUAUCUUUUGAACGUUUUUCUUGCCCCUUUUUGUUUUUAAAGGCUAAAGUUGCCUUGCCCUUGUCUUUUACGGGCAUUUUGAGUUCUGUAAAUCCAAUAAACUCUGUUAUCUUUGA